rnacentral:rRNA from 1 species
CACUCCUGCGGGAGGCAGCAGUGGGGAAUUUUGGACAAUGGGCGAAAGCCUGAUCCAGCAAUGCCGCGUGAGUGAAGAAGGCCUUCGGGUUGUAAAGCUCUUUUGUCAGGGAAGAAACGGUGAAAGCUAAUAUCUUUUGCUAAUGACGGUACCUGAAGAAUAAGCACCGGCUAACUACGUGCCAGCAGCCGCGGUAAUACGUAGGGUGCAAGCGUUAAUCGGAAUUACUGGGCGUAAAGCGUGCGCAGGCGGUUUUGUAAGUCUGAUGUGAAAUCCCCGGGCUCAACCUGGGAAUUGCAUUGGAGACUGCAAGGCUAGAAUCUGGCAGAGGGGGGUAGAAUUCCACGUGUAGCAGUGAAAUGCGUAGAUAUGUGGAGGAACACCGAUGGCGAAGGCAGCCCCCUGGGUCAAGAUUGACGCUCAUGCACGAAAGCGUGGGGAGCAAACAGGAUUAGAUACCCGGGUAGUCCCAU